ACCAUCUACAAGGAAAGAAUUAUGAUUGUGAUUUGCACACCGUACUAUUUUGGGAUAUCAGCUGGCAUAAGAUAAAACGCAUCUAGGCUAUGUUGUCCAUACAUUUAAUUAUUUUUAAAGAAAGUAAAUAUUUGAACCGGAUAAUGAUGUAACAAGCUCUAGCUUAGCUCUAGCUAACUGUCUCUGCACAGUUUCAACAGAUUCCUGACGCAUCUCCAUACACUCUCUAAACACUAUCAUUGGCGUCCGUUCAUUCAGUUAUCAGAAACCAACUCCAUACUCUCUCUAAACACCAUCAUUGGCACCCAUUCAGUUAUCAGAAACCAACUCCAUGCUCUCUCUAAACACUAUCAUUGGCAUCCGUUCAGUUCUCAGAAACCAAACCAUCACUGUAAGGCACAAAGUGCUGAUGGGUGAUCAUAACAUUGCUGAGUGACACCAUCCCACAUGGGACCUGAGUCUGGUCCUAGAUAGGGCCCUCCGCCCACGGUUAACCAUGAGACUCACUAAGCUGGACCACUUUUUGCCGGACUGCUGUGAAAAGCGGUGACACAUUUAUAUAAUACCCGCGGCGCAGCGCUAAAGAUAGCUAGCCCUGUUAGGAGAUGUAGGUUACCUUCAGCCUCUCAGUUCCUUCUGCUCCUUUAUCAUUUCCUUAAUUACAUUUACUGAAAGUGAGCAUCCAACCGCUGAGGGACAGCUGAUGUCAAGCUUAUAAUACUCACUUAAGUCAUAUCUAAGCAGGUAAUGGUAAGCACACUACAUUAAUAUAGAUUAGCGCGUCCCUGCUGUGAGACUCCUGAGUUUAUAUUAAUACUCUGAGACUCCUACUCCAGAGAGUGGGCUGUGUUUCAUUCCUUGAACAUAGCAUGUGGACGUCUGUGUAAGGCCUGAUUUACAGUUUUGCAAUUAGUGGUGUACUGUUUUGUUCAAGGACACUCAAACCGAGAAGCUGGACUCUUUAAGUGGGAACUUCUGGUUGUGCAACAUCCACUACAUGAGACUUGGUCUUCUGCUGAGGGAUCUGUCAAGUUUGAGCCCCUUGCUGAAGCACUGAGCUCUUGGCGUGACGAGAGAAGGGGGCUGCCAUGGUUCUGUUUGUCUUCUAUUUAUAGCCCCCCUGGCCCUUGCAGCUGUCCCACUACUUCCCCCUCACACACACACACACACACACACACACACACACACACACACCCCCCUCCUUCCCUGUGUGCGUCUUGGCGUUGAGCUCAGCGUGUGUACACUCCUCUGCGGAAUCGCCCCCCGUAUCCACCUACUGCUGACUCUGCCCUCACCCUCCGGUACCAGCCACGGACUACCCCCAGUUGGACCCUCUACCCCUGGGCUUGUCCUCGUGUGGAAGCCCUGGUGCACGGCGCGCAGCACUGGAGAGCAGGUUAAAGACGUCCCGCCCGCUUCCAGAGCCUCAGACGUAA